rnacentral:tRNA from 1 species
GGAGGGGCCGUGGCUUAGAGGCAGAGCGACUGCGUGGCAUGGAGAGGGUCCCAGGUUCAAUUCCGGGCACUUCCA